rnacentral:miRNA from 1 species
CAGUAGUGAAAUGGGAGUCCAUGU